rnacentral:pre_miRNA from 1 species
GGGGAGGCGGAGGUUGCAGUGAGCCGAGAUCACACCGUUGUACUCCAGCCUGGGCUGUAAGAGUGAAACUCUGUCUUGAAAAAGAAAAAGAAUGAAAUUUAAUUUAUUUAUUUAUUUAUUUUUGAGGUAGAGUUUCACUCUUGUUGCCUAGGCUGGAGUGCAGUGGCAUGAUCUCAGCUCACUGCAACCUCUGCCUCCCA